ACAAGCCUAGAGAUAUGAAGGGAAAAGUGUGACUGCUCUGACAGCAGAAACAAGCAAGUAUCUCCAAAGGGGAUUAGUCCCUGUGCUUCAAAGUAACUAAAACAAAGAAAGCUGAGCCAGCUUCAAGGGGAACAGCACCUUCCAUCAGACAAGGAUGAGCUAAU
rfam:Choloepus hoffmanni cont1.409868, whole genome shotgun sequence.